CUCCGUAGGGUAACCUGCGGAGGGAUCAUUACAAGUGACCCCGGUUUACCACCGGGAUGUUCAUAACCCUUUGUUGUCCGACUCUGUUGCCUCCGGGGCGACCCUGCCUUCGGGCGGGGGCUCCGGGUGGACACUUCAAACUCUUGCGUAACUUUGCAGUCUGAGUAAACUUAAUUAAUAAAUUAAAACUUUUAACAACGGAUCUCUUGGUUCUGGCAUCGAUGAAGAACGCAGCGAAAUGCGAUAAGUAAUGUGAAUUGCAGAAUUCAGUGAAUCAUCGAAUCUUUGAACGCACAUUGCGCCCCCUGGUAUUCCGGGGGGCAUGCCUGUUCGAGCGUCAUUUCACCACUCAAGCCUCGCUUGGUAUUGGGCAACGCGGUCCGCCGCGUGCCUCAAAUCGACCGGCUGGGUCUUCUGUCCCCUAAGCGUUGUGGAAACUAUUCGCUAAAGGGUGCUCGGGAGGCUACGCCGUAAAACAACCCCAUUUCUAAGGUUGACCUCGGAUCAGGUAGGGAUACCCGCUGAACUUAAGCAUAUCAAAAGCGGAGGAAUU
rnacentral:rRNA from 1 species